rnacentral:lncRNA from 1 species
AAUGCUGAUGCCAGGACCUUGUCCUGCCAGGAAGCCUCUGAUUAGGGCUGUGAACCAACUUCCUUUUCACAUCUGCAAGGACACUUGGAGGCAACUGCCCAAGGCCACUCUGAGGAGGGUUGAAUGUUCUUUAUUAAAAGGACUGAGGAUCAUGUGUGUUGGUGGGCCUUGGACUCUGCUCUAAGACACAUGGAGGCAACCACUCAAGGCCACUCUGAGAAGGGUUGAACGUGCUUUAAAUUAAAAGGACUGAGGAUCAUGUGUGUUGGUGUGUCUUGGACUCUGCUCUAAGACUCAUGGAGGCAACCACUCAAGGUCACUCUGAGAAGGGUUGAACGUGCUUUAUUAAAAGGACUGAGGAUCAUGUGUGUUGGUGUGUCCCGGAGUCUGCUCUAAGGCCCUGUGGCUGCCUGGUGCCCUGGGAAUGGUCCGGUCAUGGGCCUCAGCCCAGGAUGAGCAGCCAACAAUGCAAUCCCACGAAGAGUGUGCGGAAGGGAGAGGUUACUUCUCAAGAUGGAGCUGCCAAAUAGGGACACUUUGGAGAGUCUGGCCUGAGAACUUUUAGUUUCAAGAAUGUAUUGCUUUGGAAAAGACAGAAUAAAAGUCCAAGC